AUUCUUAGUUUUUCUCGUACAUCUUUGUAGGAGAUAAAAGUGCUUUGCGACCUAGCGGCCUGAGGUUCGGCUCGCCGGCUCUUACCUCCAGAGGCUUGGUGGAGAAUGACUUCAGGAAAGUGGCUGAGUUCAUUCACAGAGGCAUUGAACUGACUGUGGAGGUGCAGAAAAGUCUGGAUCCCAAAGCCACUCUGAAGGAGUUUGUUCAGGCAUUAUCCCAGGGAGAGAAGUUCCAGCAGCGGGUAGCGGAGAUCAGGGCUGAGGUGGAGGCUUUCGCCGGACAAUUCCCAAUGCCAGGUCUACCCGAGCUGUAGAGCGCAGUUCAGACUCUAAAUGCAGCUGAACGGAUGAUUCAAGAAGAUUAGUACGAAGGCAUAUGAUGCUGGGUUUUUGUUUUUCCUUUAUUUUGACUGUCGACUCACAGUUCGCAUGGAUAGACACGAUUUCUGUUCAAACAGAUUUAAUAACCAUCGAAUUAUUCUGUGUUGUUACUGAGCCUUUCCCAUUUUUACGUGUUUUCCAUUUAGCUUCAUGGUCGGGUGUUACAAUCAUAUUUAAGCUUUGAGCUCAUCAGAAAUCUCACUUUCAUCUUUAUUAAGGUUACACUUCAGAGGUUUUGUAGCAAACUACCACAUUUUCAGUAUAUAGUAUCGUAAGUACAACUUUGAAAAUAAAAUAAUUACAUUCUGAAUAAACUAAGAAUGAACGAAA